rnacentral:rRNA from 1 species
UACGUAGGCAGCAAGCGUUGUUCGGAGUUACUGGGCGUAAAGAGUGCGUAGGUGGUGCCCUAAGUCUGUUGUGAAAUCUCCCGGCUUAACUGGGAGGGUGCGGUGGAAACUGGGGUGCUUGAGUGUGGGGAGAGGUAAGCGGAAUUCCUGGUGUAGCGGUGAAAUGCGUAGAUAUCAGGAGGAACACCGGUGGUGUAGACGGCUUACUGGACCACGACUGACACUGAGGCACGAAAGCGUGGGUAGCGAACAGG